ACGAUAAAAGUCGUAAGAAGUUCGUAGGAAAUUUCCUACGAAAAUUCUACGAAAAAAAAUGUCGUAGGAAAUUUCGUAAGAAAGUGGAAUGAAAGGUAUAUGAAAAAAUUGGUAGGAAAUUCGAAUGUAUAUAUCUUUCCAAUUUCCUACAAACAAGACUUCGUAGGAAAUCGCGUAGGAAAUGAGAAGGAAAAUUAUGGGAAACUAAUUGAUUUUUUUUUGCCUAAAAGCAUAUCCUUGACUAUAGCAACAACACUUUCCCAGCCGAAAGCUAGAAACAUUGAUCCCCAUAUUCAAAAGAUUUGUAAAUCUAUCGCUUCAAGGGCUUCUCUAGCUUAAUUUUAGAGUUGAAUCGUUCUUAGUGUCAAUAAUUCACAAAAUAUAGGUUAUAUCGAAGAAAUAUCGGAUCUUGCUGAGUAGUACAAGUAAUUGGAUAUUGAAAUCAGUCUCUCUGGAUUCGCCGUCCGUUCGCCGUUUAAAGUCGUCACGACAAAGAGAAAGGCGUCAAUGUUCAAGUCUACCUUCGAUGCAGACCAUUUAGCGAUGAUGAAUUGAGAAGCAAUGCUCCUCAAGUUCAUGAAAAGAUACAUAAAGCAACUAAGCCCUAAGUUGGACUCGGAAAAGCAAGAGCUGUUCAAGAAACACAUUAAGAGUGCCACCAAAUCCUUGAUGUCAAAGCUUAGAGACUUCCAAUUGUAAGCUCUUCUCUUUUAUCUUUUUUCUUUCUUCAAUGUGUUUUGAGUGAAUUUUGUCUAAUUGGUGAUUAUUUCAACGAAUGUGACAAUUUUGUGGGAGAGAGCAUGGAAGGAGAAGAAGGGAGCUUAGUGUUGGCUUACUACAGAGAAGCUGCCACUAAUCCUACUUUUCUCUACUUAGCCUACGGCUUGAAAGAGAUCAAAAGAAAAGUGGUGGGAAUGUCAAGUUACAGUCCAUUGUGAUGCCUCGCUUGGAGUUUGAACAUGUUGCAAAGUAGAUCCUCUAUAUGGUUGUAUGUGAAUUUGACUGGGAGUUGUACAAACUGAAGCAUUUUGUUGAUAAAGUGACUGAAGAGGGAGAAUCAUCUAAGGAACAAAAGAGUGAAUCCAAAAUUAUAGUCGUGUGCAGAUGCAACAGGUUGCAGAGACGGUGAGAAGAAGAUAGCUCAAAUGAGAGUCUUGGAGAUGACGAUAUUCAGUAUAAUCAUCACAUGAAGGGCUUACCAUCGGGUCGUAAUGGUUGUGGGAGAGGACACAGAACGUUUAGGAAUGGUCAUUUCAACACCAGUGGUGGUAAUUAAUUACGGUGCUAAUGGUUAUAGCGUUGAGAGGAUGGAAAGCUCCAGCUGUGGAGAAUCCAUUGCAUGUGAGUUUGGAGGAUCUGUAUAAAGGUGUGAAGAAGAAGAUGUGUUUAUCUAGAUGAAGACGACGAACACGAGCGUAGAUGACGAUGACGACGAGAUUCAAGAGUAGAUCGAUUAGGUUUGAAUCUUUACCUUAAAAUGGCUUGUACAAUGAAUAUGGCUUGGUAUGAAUUUUAAUUGGUAUGGAGUUCAAUUUGUAUGAAUUUCUUUUGAA